GCCUGCUACAGUCGCUAAUUCAGGGAGGUUGCCACCCUCGUCGUGUCCCACCACUGCAGCAUCAACGGCAGGGUCGGUCAUCACGGCAACGAGGCCCCCCGGGGUCAACGCCAUCCUGCCACCUCUUGCGUGUGCAGUGCACACCUUGCUGCACAGCAGUCUGCGACCCCACUCUGUAGUUCUCGACCACGGUGCAGUACACACCGCCGUCGUCAACGACACUGGCGCCUUGCAGUUCAUUGGCCCCGGGCAAGCAGUGUAGGUUGCUCUCACUUCAGCUCGGUUGGGUCGUCGGUGCAGUACGCAAGGACUUGAGAGGACGACGGGCAUGCAGUUCCCUGAUACCUAUUUCUUGUUUGAUAAAUUUGCCGGCGACCAGCGGUAGGCCGGGGGAGGCGCACUAGAUGUCGUCGGAUCCAACCAAGUGCGGGCGCGUCGAUGGCCACCGCUUCACCUACCCCGCACCAGCGACCUGUAGGAUGGUUCACGCCUUCCCCUGGCCCUCUCCCAUGUCCCUGCUCCAAUCUCCUUGUGAGGAAGAAGGCGGGGAAGUAGGUUCUGGUCAUCAGUGAUGCUCCGACGUCUCCAAUGCGAGAGUGUAUCUACUCCAUACUCCUUGUCCCUCUCAGGCGUACUGCCUGUCCAGCACCGAGCUGUAGUUCAUCAGCGACGCCAUCUUAUAGUGAAAUUUCAUGUUGAAGUUGUCCCAGUCUCUUGGGGGUGCUUUUGGUCUUUACUUAAUCAAUUUUUGGUGCGUUUUCAUAUUUUCUUUUGUGCAGUCCACAACAGUUUUGAUGGUGCUUUGGGUUUGUGCGUGGGUGGCCACUGAUGCCAGGAUCGGGAGCUACUGGGGCGUGCCGUUCCUUUGCUCAGCCCAGGUCCCUGUAGCCUAGGCGUGUAGUACACGGGCACACCGGUCGGCGCCUUGCAAUUCACUGGCUUGUGGCACGCAGCUCUGACGUUGCGUCCGUGCAUUUGGAUAGGGCAAGCAGUACAUGGCCGCGCCUGUGUCCAACUGGUGUGGUCCAGCGUCAGCGGAACGUGCAGCUCG